GACGAACGCUGGCGGCGUGCUUAACACAUGCAAGUCGAACGGGCCUGUCUUCUUUUUUGGGGGUGGGUUGAGUGGCGAACGGGUGAGUAUCACGUGAGUAACCUGCCCUUCGGUCCUGGAUAACCGCUUGAAAGGGCGGCUAAUACGGGGUGGUCCGGUUGGUCCGCAUGGGCUGGUCGGGAUAGAUUCACUGUUUUUGGUGUUUCGGCGGGGGAUGGGCUCGCGGCCUAUCAGCUUGUUGGUGGGGUGAUGGCCUACCAAGGCGGUGACGGGUGGCCGGCCUGGGAGGGUGGGCGGACACACUGGGACUGAGAUACGGCCCAGACUCCUGCGGGAGGCAGCAGUGGGGGGUAUUGCACAAUGGGCGGAAGCCUGAUGCAGCGACGUCGCGUGAGGGAUGGAGGCCUUCGGGUUGUGAACCUCUGUUUCCGGUGGUGAAGGCCCUGUCCGUGUGGUGGGGUUGACGGUAGCCGGGGAUGAAGCGCCGGCUAACUACGUG
rnacentral:rRNA from 1 species